rnacentral:rRNA from 1 species
UAGGGGAUAUUGCUAAAUGGGCGCAAGCCUGAAGCAGCAACGCCGCGUGUGCGAUGACGGCCUUCGGGUUGUAAAGCACUUUUGGUCGGGACGAGGAAGGACGGUACCGGCCGAAUAAGCCUCGGCUAACUACGUGCCAGCAGCCGCGGUAAAACGUAGGAGGCGAGCGUUAUCCGGAUUUACUGGGUGUAAAGCGCGUGCAGGCGGCGGGCUAAGUUGGAUGUGAAAGCUCCUGGCUCAACUGGGAGAGGUCGUUCAAAACUGGCUGGCUAGAGCGUGGUAAGGGAAGGUGGAAUUCCGGGAGUAGUGGUGAAAUGCGUAGAUAUCCGGAGGAACACCAGUGGCGAAGGCGGCCUUCUGGACCACGGCUGACGCUCAGACGCGAAAGCUAGGGUAGCAAACGGG